GACGAACGCUGGCGGCGUGCUUAACACUUGCAAGUCGAACGGAAAGGCCCUGCUUUUGUGGGGUGCUCGAGUGGCGAACGGGUGAGUAACACGUGAGUAACCUGCCCUUGACUUUGGGAUAACUUCAGGAAACUGGGGCUAAUACCGGAUAGGAGCUCCUGCUGCAUGGUGGGGGUUGGAAAGUUUCGGCGGUUGGGGAUGGACUCGCGGCUUAUCAGCUUGUUGGUGGGGUAGUGGCUUACCAAGGCUUUGACGGGUAGCCGGCCUGAGAGGGUGACCGGCCACAUUGGGACUGAGAUACGGCCCAGACUCCUACGGGAGGCAGCAGUGGGGAAUAUUGCACAAUGGGCGGAGGCCUGAUGCAGCAACGCCGCGUGCGGGAUGACGGCCUUCGGGUUGUAAACCGCUUUCGCCUGUGACGAAGCGUGAGUGACGGUAAUGGGUAAAGAAGCACCGGCUAACUACGUG
rnacentral:rRNA from 1 species